CUCUUUGUGCACUGCAGAUAUACGCAACACCUUUGGAGCAUCUUCAGGCAAUGGACGGGUGUGCACUUCUCCAUUCCAGAUGACUCUUGCAGCACCACAGAGGACUGGUGGCUGUCAACAAGGAAGAGCAUCCCCAAGAUGGACAGGCGAAAUUUCGACACCAUUGUUAUCCUGGUGCAUUGGAGGAUCUGGAAGGAGCGGAAUGCCUGGAUUUUUCAGCACACGACCAGCAGCACCAACAGAGUCCUUGACCUGAUCCAUGAAGAUAUUGCUGCGUGGAGGGCAGUUGGGUGUGUUAUUGAUCUCUCUGCUUGA
rnacentral:rRNA from 1 species